rnacentral:rRNA from 1 species
GUGCACGCUGGCGGUAGGCCUAACACAUGCAAGUCGAACGGCAGCACAGUAAGAGCUUGCUCUUACGGGUGGCGAGUGGCGGACGGGUGAGGAAUACAUCGGAAUCUACUUUUUCGUGGGGGAUAACGUAGGGAAACUUACGCUAAUACCGCAUACGACCUACGGGUGAAAGCAGGGGAUCUUCGGACCUUGCGCGAUUGGAUGAGCCGAUGUCGGAUUAGCUAGUUGGCGGGGUAAAGGCCCACCAAGGCGACGAUCCGUAGCUGGUCUGAGAGGAUGAUCAGCCACACUGGAACUGAGACACGGUCCAGACUCCUACGGGAGGCAGCAGUGGGGAAUAUUGGACAAUGGGCGCAAGCCUGAUCCAGCCAUACCGCGUGGGUGAAGAAGGCCUUCGGGUUGUAAAGCCCUUUUGUUGGGAAAGAAAAGCAGCAGGUUAAUACCCCGCUGUUCUGACGGUACCCAAAGAAUAAGCACCGGCUAACUUCGUG